CAAUAGCGUAUAUUAAAGUUGUUGCAGUUAAAAAGCUCGUAGUUGAAUUUUUGCUUGCCGCCGAUGUCGGAACUUCCGUACGUUAGGCGGCGUGCAUCCUUGGGUGGAACCUGUGUGGCAUUAGGUUGUCGUGCAGGGGAUGCUCAUCGUUUACUGUGAAAAAAUUAGAGUGUUCAAAGCAGGCUUACGCCGUUGAAUAUAUUAGCAUGGAAUAAUAAGAUAGGACCUUGGUACUAUUUUGUUGGUUUGCGCACCGAGGUAAUGAUUAACAGGGACAGUUGGGGGUAUUCGUAUUCCAUUGUCAGAGGUGAAAUUCUUGGAUUUCUGGAAGACGAACUACUGCGAAAGCAUUUACCAAGGAUGUUUUCAUUAA
rnacentral:rRNA from 1 species